UCAGCAGCCCUGGAAUCUGAAAUCCUUUAUUUAUCCAUCUAACAAGAAUAGCGCAGACAGCAGCAGUUGGUUCUCCCCAACACUGUCUCCCAUGAGCCUAACCCAGCCCUGACCUCUCGGAACCGGCAGGAGUGCGGCUGUGGCCACCAGGACACUUAGGUGGGGACUCG
ensembl:misc_RNA